GGGGAAUAUUGCACAAUGGGCGAAAGCCUGAUGCAGCAACGCCGCGUGAGUGAUGAAGGUCUUCGGAUUGUAAAGCUCUGUCUUUUGGGACGAUAAUGACGGUACCAAAGGAGGAAGCCACGGCUAACUACGUGCCAGCAGCCGCGGUAAUACGUAGGUGGCGAGCGUUGUCCGGAUUUACUGGGCGUAAAGGGUGCGUAGGCGGAUGUUUAAGUGAGAUGUGAAAUACCCGGGCUUAACUUGGGUGCUGCAUUUCAAACUGGAUAUCUAGAGUGCAGGAGAGGAGAAUGGAAUUCCUAGUGUAGCGGUGAAAUGCGUAGAGAUUAGGAAGAACACCAGUGGCGAAGGCGAUUCUCUGGACUGUAACUGACGCUGAGGCACGAAAGCGUGGGUAGCAAACAGGAUUAGAUACCCUGGUAGUCCACGCCGUA
rnacentral:rRNA from 1 species